CCUACGGGAGGCUGCAGUGGGGAAUAUUGCACAAUGGGCGAAAGCCUGAUGCAGCAACGCCGCGUGAGCGAUGAAGGCCUUCGGGUCGUAAAGCUCUGUCCUCAAGGAAGAUUAUGACGGUACUUGCGGAGGAAGCCCCGGCUAACUACUUGCCAGCAGCCGCGGUAAUACGUAGGGGGCUAGCGUUAUCCGGAAGUACUGUGCGUAAGGGGUGCGUAGGUGGUUUCUUGAGUCAGAGGUGAAAGGCUACGGCUCAACCGUAGUAAGCCUUUGAAACUGGGAAACUUGAGUGCAGGAGAGGAGAGUGGAAUUCCUAGUGUAGCGGUGAAAUGCGUAGAUAUUAGGAGGAACACCAGUUGCGAAGGCGGCUCUCUGGACUGUAACUGACACUGAGGCACGAAAGCGUGGGGAGCAAACAGAAUUAGAUACCCGAGUAGUC
rnacentral:rRNA from 1 species